AGUGAACGCUGGCGGUAGGCCUAACACAUGCAAGUCGAACGGCAGCACAGUAAGAGCUUGCUCUUACGGGUGGCGAGUGGCGGACGGGUGAGGAAUACAUCGGAAUCUACUUUUUCGUGGGGGAUAACGUAGGGAAACUUACGCUAAUACCGCAUACGACCUACGGGUGAAAGCAGGGGAUCUUCGGACCUUUCGCGAUUGAAUGAGCCGAUGUCGGAUUAGCUAGUUGGCGGGGUAAAGGCCCACCAAGGCGACGAUCCGUAGCUGGUCUGAGAGGAUGAUCAGCCACACUGGAACUGAGACACGGUCCAGACUCCUACGGGAGGCAGCAGUGGGGAAUAUUGGACAAUGGGCGCAAGCCUGAUCCAGCCAUACCGCGUGGGCGAAGAAGGCCUUCGGGUUGUAAAGCCCUUUUGUUGGGAAAGAAAAGCAGCAGGUUAAUACCCCGCUGUUCUGACGGUACCCAAAGAAUAAGCACCGGCUAACUUCGUG
rnacentral:rRNA from 1 species